GGCGGGACCAGCAUUUAGAAAGUUUCUUUCACUCUUUGACUGAAUAUUGGUUGAAAGGAGUGCAGCUGAAACUGUAACCAAAGGAGGCAUUAUGCCUCCAGGAAAAUCUCAGGGAGAAGUAUCACAAGCAGCAGUGGUAGCUGUUGGAUCAGGCUCUAAAGGAAAGGGUAGAGAGAUUCGACCAAUUAGCGUGGAAGUUGGAGACAAAUUUCUUCUCCCAGAAUAUAGAGGCACCAAAGUAGUUCUAGGUGACAGGAUUAUUUCUUAUUUAGAGAUGGUGACAUUCUUGGAAAGAAUGCAGACAGAAAUA
rnacentral:lncRNA from 1 species